rnacentral:rRNA from 1 species
CCUGGCUCAGAUUGAACGCUGGCGGCGUGCUAACACAUGCAAGUCGCGCGUGAAAGGACUUCGGUCCGAGUAAAGCGGCGCACGGGUGAGUAUCGCGUGGAUGAUCUACCCAUGAGUUAGGAAUAACGGCUGGAAACGGUCGCUAAUACCAAAUACGCUCCGAUUUCAACUUCGGGGGAAAGGUGGCCUCUGCUUGCAAGCUACUGCUCAUGGAUGAGUCCGCGUCCCAUUAGCUAGUUGGUGGGGUAACGGCCCACCAAGGCGACGAUGGGUAGCCGGUCUGAGAGGAUGACCGGCCACACUGGGACUGGAACACGGCCCAGACUCCUACGGGAGGCAGCAGUGGGGAAUAUUGCGCAAUGGGCGAAAGCCUGACGCAGCGACGCCGCGUGAGGGGAAUGAAGGUCCUCGGAUCGUAAACCUCUGUCAGGAGGGAAGAACCGCCACGGUGCUAAUCAGCCGUGGUCUGACGGUACCUCCAAAGGAAGCACCGGCUAACUCCGUGCCAGCCGCCGC